UACGGAGGAUGCAAGCGUUAUCCGGAUUUAUUGGGUUUAAAGGGUGCGCAGGUUGUUUGAUAAGUCAGUGGUGAAAGUCUGUCGCUUAACGGUAGGAUUGCCAUUGAUACUGUUAGACUUGAAUAUGGAUGAGGUAGGCGGAAUGUGUAGUGUAGCGGUGAAAUGCAUAGAUAUUACACAGAACACCGAUUGCGAAGGCAGCUUACUAAUCCAUCAUUGACACUGAGGCACGAAAGCGUGGGGAUCAAACAGGA
rnacentral:rRNA from 1 species